AUGGCCAGCGGCUUAGUCGAUAAUUGGUUGGGGAGCACCAGUUUCUCGACGCAGGCCGGCUCGCAGCAGCCGGAGGCACCGCUCUCCCAGUCAUCGCCAAUGGGUCGCAGUUUGGCUGACCAGAAGUGGGAGAUAUGGUUUCAUUUAGAAGGAAGAAACCCUUUGAAAAGGUGUAUAUUUGAGUCAGAUAUUUAUUUGCUUACUCUACAAUCACUCAUUGCUAGUGAAGGGUAUGGGGACAGUGAUUAA
rnacentral:rRNA from 1 species